AGGUAGGUAACGACUGAUGGGAACACUCUGAGAUUUUCUUUAAUGUUCUCUUUGGUUGUUACCACUAG